AUUGAACGCUGGCGGCAAGCCUAACACAUGCAAGUCGAACGAGUGGCGGACGGGUGAGUAAUGUCUGGGAAACUGCCUGAUGGAGGGGGAUAACUACUGGAAACGGUAGCUAAUACCGCAUACCAUCGGAUGUGCCCAGAUGGGAUUAGCUAGUAGGUGGGGUAAAGGCUUACCUAGGCGACGAUCCCUAGCUGGUCUGAGAGGAUGACCAGCCACUCGGGACCUGGUACACGGUCCAGCUCUCUACGGGAGGCGGCAGUGUGGAAUUUUGAACAAUGGGCGCAAGCCUGAUGCAGCCAUGCCGCGGGUAUGAAGAAGGCCUUCGGGUUGUAAAGUACUUUCAGCGGGGAGGCGUUACCCGCAGAUGAAGCACCGGCUAACUCCGUGCCAGCAGCCGCGGUAAUA
rnacentral:rRNA from 1 species